CAGUCGCCGCGGUAAUACAGAGGGUGCAAGCGUUAAUCGGAUUUACUGGGCGUAAAGGGCGCGUAGGUGGUUAUUUAAGUGAGAUGUGAAAGCCCCGGGCUUAACCUGGGAACUGCAUCUUAUACUGGGUAACUGGAGUGCAGUAGAGGGUAGUGGAAUUUCCGGUGUAGCGGUGAAAUGCGUAGAUAUCGGAAGGAACACCAGUGGCGAAGGCGGCUACCUGGACUGAGACUGACACUGAGGCGCGAAAGCGUGGGGAGCAAACAGGAUUAGAUACCCGUGUAGUCCCUGUCUCUUAUAC
rnacentral:rRNA from 1 species